GACGAACGCUGGCGGCGUGCUUAACACAUGCAAGUCGAACGGAAAGGCCUGCUUUCCUUUGUGGAUUGCGGGUACUCGAGUGGCGAACGGGUGAGUAACACGUGAGUGAUCUGCCCCCAACUUGGGUAUAAGCCUGGGAAACUGGGUCUAAUUCCCGAUAGGACUGCAGGGUGGUGCCUGUGGUGGAAAACGAUUUUCUAGUGGUUGGGGAUGAGCUCGCGGCCUAUCAGCUUGUUGGUGGGGUAAUGGCCUACCAAGGCGGCGACGGGUAGCCGGCCUGAGAGGGUGGACGGCCACAUUGGGACUGAGAUACGGCCCAGACUCCUACGGGAGGCAGCAGUGGGGAAUAUUGCACAAUGGGCGGAAGCCUGAUGCAGCGACGCCGCGUGGGGGAUGACGGCCUUCGGGUUGUAAACUCCUUUCGACCGCGAGGAAGCCACCUGGUUGGAAGGGUGGUGACGGUAGUGGUAGAAGAAGCACCGGCUAACUACGUG
rnacentral:rRNA from 1 species